GCGUUGUUGAUUCAGUGGUAGAAUUCUCACCUUCCAUGAGGGAAACCUGGGUUCAAUUCUCGGCCAAUGCA
rnacentral:tRNA from 1 species